AUUGAACGCUGGCGGCAGGCCUAACACAUACAAGUCGAGCGGAUGAAGGGAGCUUGCUCCUGGACUCAGCGGCGGACGGGUGAGUAAUGCCUAGGAAUCUGCCUGGUAGUGGGGGGUAACGUCCGGAAACGGGCGCUAAUACCGCAUACGUCCUGAGGGAGAAAGUGGGGGAUCUUCGGACCUCACGCCAUCAGAUGAGCCUAGGUCGGAUUAGCUAGUUGGUGGGGUAAAGGCCUACAAAGGCGACGAUCCGUAACUGGUCUGAGAGGAUGAUCAGUCACACUGGAACUGAGACACGGUCCAGACUCCUACGGGAGGCAGCGGUGGGGAAUAUUGGACAAUGGGCGGAAGCCUGAUCCAGCCAUGCCGCGUGUGUGAAGAAGGUCUUCGGAUUGUAAAGCACUUUAGGUUGGGAGGAAGGGCAGUAAGUUAAUACCUUGCUGUUUUGACGUUACCAGCAGAAUAAGCACCGGCUAACUUCGUG
rnacentral:rRNA from 1 species